rnacentral:lncRNA from 1 species
UAGGAUUCAGGUUUUGAGGUAACUCUUCUACUAGACAACAUUUUAAAGUAGUAACUAUUUUUCUCAUUGCUAUUAACCAAGCCACACAUUAAUGCCGAGCUUCUGUUAAGUAAAAAAUAACUAGGGAUACCAGACUGAGUUUUUCAGCCCAGUCAGAAGAAAAGCAAUUUGACAUACUGUUACCCUUUGCAGUCUUAGCAAGAGAAAGACAAUGCGCUUGUUUAUUGUCUAAAUUAGCACUUUGCCCCUGAUACUCCUCAAAGCUGAAAGACCCUCUAAGAUCAAGAACUGAUGAAGGCUAUAGAAAAAUGUGCUGCUCAAAAGGAGAUUUCCAUCUCGAAAAGGCAAAUUACUGGGAAAAAUGAAUCUGUUUUCUCUGCCAAGCAUUGGAGACAUAGAAGGAGACUGCCUCCUGCUGGGGUCAGUAUUUUCUGCAUCCCAUGAACGGAAGUGAGAACAGCCUUGGGAGCUAAUGCCGAAGGUGGGAGAAUCUGAUGCCCUCAGUCUCCAGUGAACUAAAGCUGAAGAAGACUCAGAUUUCUGACACAAUGGUAACACCUAUCCCUUCUGCCUGUGACUGCCAGGGCUUGCUGUAUGAUGAUAAGAAGAGAAUGUGACACAGAGGAAGGGGAAAAAGUCCAUCCCUCUGGUAGUAGGGGGUUGUGGAAUGGGAGGGAAAAAGGGAGAAGGAGAAGUAGAAAAUACUCAUAUCUAAAUGUCUUCAUGUCUUCUGCUUGACUUUAGCCAGGAAUGAGUGUUAGGAAAGAGGGGAUGCUCUAGAAGAGGAAGCUAUGGAGUCUUAUUUGGGUCUAUGUAAAUAGCCCAACCACAGGCCCUUCUGCCCAAUCUAGGGCAGACCCAUACCAGAGUUUAACGUGGCAACAAAGUGUGGUUAGACAGAAGUUAGGCAUGGAGUUUAGCUUUUCAAGGCAGCUUUCCAUCACUACAAGGCCAAGGCAGAAAUUAAAUAUCUCAUUUCCUUUUUGCAGGGUAGAGCAAGCAGGGCAAAGGGGAAUGACUGAGCAAUCAGGUGACUUGAGAGCCAAAUAACAUUCCCAUUCACAGGGUCUGAAUUGGUGAAAUGUAUCAAGAUCUUCAGCUUGAGAUGGACCAUCAGAGCAGGAGGCCAGAAGAGAGACAUGGGGUUUGUUGUGAUAACUAGAGCUAAAGUGAGCUAAGUGAUCAGUAGAGCAACACUGGGCUCUGGCCAACCAAAAUAAACCAGACCAUGAGCUCCACCAGAUAAGGCCCUCUGCUACAAGUACAGUAGGUGAGCAGCACCCAGGCAGAGAGAGGCAUUGUCAGGAAGACUGAAGGAAAGAGGAGCAUCACAAGUGAUGAGGAGCUGAUCUUCACCUAGGCAAGGAGGUGGGAAAGUCUUCCUUCCCCCAGAUGCCCUGGGAGAGAAUUGGGGAACAGGAAGACUCUGGGAAACUGAGCAUUUCUUUUUAUCAAAAGAUAAAGAGCACAAGGAUUAUUUACAUCAUUGUAAUAACCUACAUUUUUUAGGCAUAAUUUUAGAAACAUAUCUUGGCUGCAUAUAUGUGAGAUUGCUUACAUUUUUAAACAUUACAAUUGCUUAUUAAAUAAAAGAAGGACCCAAAUAAGAAAGAAGAGAAAAAAUAAGCAAGAUGCUUAAAAUGACUUAUCUCCUUCAACAGUAGAGUUCUCCAGCAAGAGAAAUACUAAAACCUAAGCUGUUGCUUUAGCACUAAGAUUAAGGUUCCUUCCCAAGUGUUAGUCCCAGUAAAGAAGGGUAUGAGAAAAAAUUGUGAAGUGCAUGCAAUUUGUUGUUACUUCUUUCAUGAUUCAACAUUCUACUAAGCUACCUGAUUUACCCUGGUUUUGUUGUUGUUAUUGUUGUUUUUAGCCAUUACAAAUACUUUGCUCUCAGGGAAGACUCAGAUAUUAAUUAUAAAUCUCAGGGUGAGUUUAUUAAUGCUAAAUGAUGAACAGUGUUAUAUUGAAAGAUAUUUCAAAAACAACCAAAUCUAGUUUCCAUAGCAACUAUUUUGUAUAUGGAAGAGACACAGAAAUUAAAGAAAAAAGACCUACCACUUACUGUGUGACCUUGACCUCUUUGAUAAUGUUUCUUCAUUUGUGAAAUAAUGAAAAACUAAUCAUUACUCUACCAACUCUCUUCCUUUUUAUGAAGAUUGAAACCACAUUAGUGAAAGUGCUUUGUGGUCUUUGAAGAAUAUAGUUAUAAUUGUUAUGUCAAAGACCAAAAGAGAUAUUCAGGACUCAAGGCAGGCCUUCAGGGUUUCCCUGAGAUAGCACUGUGGGCAUUGUUUCAUGAUCUUUUACUAUAUGAGAAGUAGAGAAAGGAAG